GUUGAAGUUCCUAGGAGGGGAAAAAAAAGGAUAGUUGAAUGACAAGACUGUCUGGAGGCCUGCCUUCAUCAUCACCUUCCUUGAUCUUCCUUGGUCCGAGUCCUCAGGGUGAAAACUAAGACCUUGGCACAGAUCCCAAGAAACAUUUCUACAUUUUUCAAGAAAAGACACUCCACAGUCUAGAACAUAAGGGCAUUCUUAUUCCCAUGCAACCUCAUCCUUCUGCUGGAAUAAAAAGCAAGUUCUGACAUCGUGGAAAGACACAAAUAUAUCCGCCUAUAGUUCUGAAAUCAUUACAGAGGUUUUCAAGCUUUUUACAUCUGUCCCAUCACCUUGUCAUCAGGAAGGAAGACAUUUCCCAGCACCCACACUGUGACUCGCAAUCAUCUGUAACUACAAUUCCAGCAGAUCUGGUGUAAUCACAACCGUCUGUGACUACAGCUCCUGCAGAUCCAGUGUAAUCUCAACCAUCUGUAACUACAGUUCAGGCAGAUCUGGUGAAAUCACAACCAUCUGUAACUAUGGUUCCAACAGAUCCAGUGCCCUCUUCUGAUUUUGGCAGGUACCAGUCAUGCACUUGGUAUACAUGUAUACAUGUAGGCAAAACAUUCACACACAUAAAAUAGAUUUUCAAAAAAUUGUCUGUAAAAGACUUACAAACUGAAUUCACAAAUGCAUAAAAAAAGACUAUACACUCUGAGCAAGUAACCUUUAUCUUAAAGAUGCAGAUAUGGUUCACACUUCAUAAACUGAUAAAAAGAAUCCAUGAUCUCAAAGGCAGAAACUAUGUGAUCAUCUAAUUAGAUACAGAAAACACCUUUGACAAAAUCUAAAAUCUUCUCAUAAGAAAAGUCCUGAAGAAUCUAGGGAUGUGGUAUAGGUGUAAAAAAAUGACUUUUAGAAUAGGAUUCCAUUUGCCUAUGAAUAAGGUCAACAAAUGACAAGUGGGACUUCAUAAAACUAAGAAGCUUCUGCACAACUAAAGAAGCAAUCAGGUGAAGAGGAAGCCCACAGAAGGGGAGAGAAUUCUUUCCAUCUAUACAACUGACAGAAGAUUAAUAAAAAGGGAACUCAAAAGAAAAAAAACAGUCAAAAAGAAAAAAGAAAAGAAACGAAAACAACAACAAUAAUAAAAUCCUGAUGAUUUAUUAGAAAAAUGGGCCUGGGAAAAAAGAGCUAAGAGAAAUCUUUAAAAAUGUUCACCAUUCUUAGCAAUUAUGGAAAUGUAAUAAAAACAUUAGUGAUUUCAUCUUACCACAGCAUGGUAAAGAUGAAGAAAACAACUGACAACAGAUGCUGGAAGGAGUGUCAGGGGAAGGGAACCCUUACUUACUGUUGGUGGCAUUGCAAACUGAUGUAGCUACUAUGGAAAUCAAUGUGGGGAAUUCUCAAGAGGACAAAAAUAAUCCACCAUAUUACCCAGUUAUGCUACUCCUGAGUCUAUGUCCAGAGGACUUCACAUCUGACUCUACAGAUAUUUGCUCCACCAUGUCCACUGACAUAGCAAGGAAAUGGAAACAACCUAAAUACCCUGAAAAUUAUGAAUGGAUAAUGAAAAUGUGGUUCAUAUUUAUUAGGGAAUGCUAUUCAGCUAUAAAGGAAAACGAAAUAAUGAACUUUGCAGGUAAAUGAUGGAACCAGGAAAGUUCAUAUUGUAUUAGGUAACCUAGACACAGAUACAUCUUAUGUUCUCUCAUCUGAGACUCCUAGCUCCAAAUUCUCAGAUGUGAGUACAUAUCCUGGAGUAAAUACAGAAACCAGGAAAGUAACAAGGAACCAUUGCUAGGGUGUGGGGAUGGGAGAGCAAUAGAGAGGUGAAUGGUAGUAUACAAGUGACGUGAUGGGGGAAAAUGUGAAAAUGUGAGAGAGUCUAAUUAGGGAUGGGGGAGGGAGAUAAAAACAGAAGAA